rnacentral:rRNA from 1 species
GACGAACGCUGGCGGCGUGCUUAACACAUGCAAGUCGAACGAGGUCCAUGGAGUAGCAAUACUUCGGAAGACCUAGUGGCGAACGGGUGCGUAACACGUGAGGAACUUGUCCCGGUCUCUGGGAUAACAGUUGGAAACGACUGCUAAUACCGGAUGACGUCGGAGCGUCGCAUGGCGCGCUGACGAAAGGGUUACCGGAUCGGGAGAGCCUCGCGGCCUAUCAGGUUGUUGGCGGGGUAAUGGCCCACCAAGGCAUCGACGGGUAGCUGGUCUGAGAGGAUGAUCAGCCACACUGGGACUGAAACACGGCCCAGACUCCUACGGGAGGCAGCAGUGGGGAAUCUUGCGCAAUGGGCGAAAGCCUGACGCAGCAACGCCGCGUGCGGGAAGAAGGCUCUCGGGUUGUAAACCGCUUUCAGCAGGAACGAAAAUGACGGUACUUGCAGAAGAAGGUGCGGCCAGCUACGUGCCAGCCGCCGCCGUAAUAC